AAUUAUAGACCGGUGUCCAACAUUCCAUUCUUGGGCAAUGUGUUGGGAGCGGGUGGUGGUGCGACAACUCCAGGCACUUUGAUGAAACUGAUUAUCUGGACCCAUUUCAAUCUGGUUUCAGACCCAGUUACAGUACUGAAUCUGCCUUGGUUGCCCUGUAUGAUGACCUGUGAAGGGAG